GGCUCCGUGGCUUAAUGGUUACGGCUUCUGUCUCCCAAGUAGAAGGUUCAGGGAUCAAAUCCCGGUCGGUACCU
rnacentral:tRNA from 1 species